rnacentral:rRNA from 1 species
GCUCGUAUUCGAACUUCGGGCUCUGUCACCGGUCCGCCUUUUUGGUGUGUACUUGGUUGAUGGAGCCUUACCUCCUGGGAAACGGCGAUGUCCUUUACUGGGUGGCGUCGCAAACGNGGACUUUUACUUUGAAAAAAUUAGAGUGUUCAAAGCAGGCCUUUGCCCGAAUACNUUAGCAUGGAAUANAAAAAUAGGACGCGCGUUCCCAUUUUGUUGGUUUCUGANAUCNCCGUANUGNUNAAUAGGGAUAGUUGGGGGCAUUUGUAUUCCGUCGUCNGAGGUGAAANANUUGGAUUGCCGGAAGACAAACUACUGCGAAAGCAUUUGCCAAGGAUGUUUUCAUUGAUCAAGAACGAAGGAAGGGGGAUCGAAAACGAUUAGAUACCGUUGUAGUCUCUUCUGUAAACUAUGCCAAUUGGGGAUCGGUACAGGAUUUUUAAUGACUGUAUCGGCACCCGAAGAGAAAUCUUUAAAUGAGGUUCGGGGGGGAGUAUGGUCGCAAGGCUGAAACUUAAAGGAAUUGACGGAAGGGCACCACCAGGUGUGGAGCCUGCGGCUUAAUUUGACUCAACACGGGGAAACUCACCAGGUCCAGACACAAUAAGGAUUGACAGAUUGAUAGCUCUUUCUUGAUCUUGUGGUUGGUGGUGCAUGGCCGUUCUUAGUUGGUGGAGUGAUUUGUCUGGUUAAUUCCGAUAACNAACGAGACCUUAACCUGCUAAAUANACCAGCCGGCUUUGGCUAGCUGCUGUCUUCUUAGAGGGACUAUCAGCGUUUAGCUGAUGGAAGUUUGAGGCAAUAACANGGUCUGUGAUGCCCUUAGAUGUUCUGGGCCGCACGCGCGCUACACUGACAGAAGCCAGCGAGUCUACCACCUUUUGCCGGAAGGGCAUGGGUAAANCCUUGUGAAACUCUGUCGUGANNGGGGAUAGAACANUUGCAAUUAUUUGUUCUUCAACGAGGAAUACCUAA